UUUUGUUCAUUCAAUUUAGGGAGAAUAGUGUUUUUGGUCCCUCAAUUGCUGGAAAAUUUUCAUUUUGGUCCUUGUGAUGUAGCGCUGUAGUAUUAUUCUUGUAGCUUCUUGUUACUAUGUCUUGUACUUCGAUUAUAGUACUCCCUCCGUCCCAAUUUAUGUGAUAUAAUUUGACUGGGCACGGAGUCUAAAAUAAGCUAAAUAUAUUUGUAUGAGCGCAAAAGGUAAAGUUUGAUGUUAUAUUGUUGCCAAAAAAGGAAAUGUAUUAUUCUUUUUGGUAUAGACUAAAAAGAAAAGUGUAUCACAUAAACUGGGAUAGAGGGAGUAAUGUUUUGUUGUAGCCGGUUCGGUGUGGUACUGGUAGCUCUUGUUUUUGGGUAGGAUUUUCUCAAAUUACUUCAUUUCAAUUUAAUUUCAUCUUUAAUCACCUCAAUAUAGCUGAAAUUUGAUUUUGUGUAUGUAGAAUAGUCUAUUUUUAUUGAAUGGAUAUAGAUGAUUCUUAUAGCUGGCCCCAACUAAUUUGGAAAUUUGGGAUUGAAGCUAGUAACUAGGAGGGAUAAAAUUAGGAAUGAAGACAUCCGGGACAAAAUGGAGGAAGCGAGGUUGAGAUGGUUUGGGCAUGUGAAAAAGCGUCGAUACCCCAGUAAGGAGGUGUGAGAGGUUGGCAGUGGUGGGUGUUAGGAGAGGUAGAGGUAGGCCGGAGUAUUGGGGGAGGUGAUUAGACAUGACAUGACGUAUUUUCUUGAGCUUACCGAGGACAUGAUCUUAGAUAGGAGGGUUUGGAGGUCGCGGAUUAUGGCAGAAGGUUAAUUGGUAGUUGUAUGAUUUCUCGCUUUUCCGCUAGAUAGGAUUGGUUAUCUUACUUGUACCUACUUUCUUACUAGUAGUAUUAGCACUAUUCUCGUAGUUUCGUGUUCUUCGUUUUCUAUUACCUCUUGUGAUUCUUUUACUUUGUUUAUCGCAUUAUUUCGUUGUUGUUGUUGUUGUUGUUGUUCCUUUUUCUGAAUGCUAUGUACUGCUUUCCAUUUCGCGUGUUUUGUUGUUGUUACUGCUUUCAUAUUCCCUUUUUUUUCGAACUGCUUUACUCAAGCCGAGGGUCUUUCGAAAACAGCCUUGCUAUCUCUACGAGGUAGGGGUAAGGUCAGCGUACAUCCUAUCCUCCCCAGACCCCACUUGUGGGAUUACACGGGGUAUGUUGUUGUUGUUGGGAUUGAAGCUAGUUGAUUAACUGAUUUGUUGAAUGUAUUGAGAUAAUGAUAUAGCAUAGGGUUCCUAAUUGUUGUAGUAUUUGUGAAUUGGGGAAUAAUCAAGCUUUAUGAUCACUUGGGAAUUGUAUUUCUGAGAUUUGAAUGAGUUAUGAGGAUUUUAAGCAGAGGCGGAGCGAGGAUCUGAAGCUUAUGGGUAGUUAGACAUUUUAGUCCUUUUAAGUUAUUGGGUUGUAAAUUAAUAAUUUGUAUUAAUAUGAAUGUCUCAAGACAAAUAUAAGGUUUGAACUGUCGAACCCGUUUCUUACUCUCUAGCUCUACCCCUAAUUAUAAGACUUGUUUUGUUGAGAAUUAUAGGUGUUAUUGACAGAUUCUUCUGGAUGCUUUUGAUUUGAUUCGAUUUUAAACAAUAGAACGUCAGGAGUUUAGUAGUCGCAACGUAUAAGUUUUGAUUUGAUACCAAGUUAUGUUUUGGCAUUUAAUACUAUAGUUAUUUAAGUUAUGUGAGUAGCAUUACAACUUCAAGGAGUGGCCUGCUAGUGACCAAUGGUUGACUUGUAUGUUAGGACAAGGAGAUGGUGAGCUUAGUCCUAGGGAGGGGAGUAAGUCUCAGUGGAUGAAACUUGCCCAAGGAUAAAUGGUAAUCUGGGAACUACUCAAACAACAACAAAGGAAAUUGUAUAAGUAACUGGCAAUAAUAGGAACAACUCUGAUGAAGGAAAUUACAGAGAACUUUAAGAACAAUACAAGGAGAUGAGAAAACCAGAGAGAACGGGGAUGAGAGGAUACAGAACUUUUCACAUUACACACUACUACAAGCGAUACGCUACUCGUUAUUUAUAGGCUUUCUCACUCUCGUGCUGCGCCUCACGUUUUCUGCUGCUUGAUGAGUGGUGCCUGGCUGCUGACUGGGUCUGCUGACUGUACCAUUUCAGCUGAUGUGGUGGUCAUAACAUAAACAACAAAUAGACUUCCAUUAUGAGAAGAAGAAGCACAUCCAGUGUCAUUUUUCCAAGAGAAACCCAUGAACACGAAAAUGGAAGGAACAAUGCUUGUAGACUUACUGUCCAAGAUGGAUAUUGCUAUGAGGAAAUUGAAUUGAGCUGCCUCGAUAGAAGUAAUGUAACAUAGACAUAUAAACAGUCCGCUACGUUGUUAAAUUUUCUGUGCAGAACAAUCAGCCAUAGGUUAAGUUUCCCAAUAUCUCAUUAAUAUGUGACCUUUCAUAGUAUUCGUGAAACAUUUAUCUUAACAAACUUAAUCAAACACAUUAGUUAAUCAAGAUUGACAUGUGGCCUGAGUAGAGGUAUAGGUAGUUCAUAGCACGAGUGUAGAUGUGCCUGGUGGAAUUCUCAGCAACAAACAUAUUAUUUGAGAGUCAAGAGGAAUUUGACCUUUGGUCCCUUCUUCUGUACUUCUUGAGGGCGAGACUUGGGAUAUCGUUUUAAAAUUACUUGCAGAAGAUUCAAACCAAAGUAAGAAGAUUCGUUUUUUUUUUUUUUUUUUUUUUGGUUGAUAUUGAUCAUGAGUCAAAUCCUAGAGAUCUUCCUUUUCAUCUUUCCUUGAGUCGAGGGUCUAAAGGAAACAGCCUCUCUACCUUUACAAGGUAGGGGUAAGGUCUGUGUACACUCUACCAUCCUCAGACCCCACCAGGUGGGAUUAUACUGGGUAUGUUAUUGUUAUUGUUGUCAAAUCCUAGAGAUGCAUCUGGAUGGGUAUUUAAAGCUUGAUUGAGUAGUGAAAUGCAAUAUGCUUUUACGUGAUAAAAUUAUAUGUGAUAAAUCUAUUUAGCUAUAUGAGACAAGGCAAGGCAAUGCUUCAAGAUUUAAAAAAACUGAGUUGGAGUGUCCAGUUAUCUUCCUAAGUGGCAUACAUAGUUAUACCAUGAUAUGAUUUGUAUGGAAGCUAGAAUCCCACUUGUUGUGACACUUCAGUCUUAGGAAUGAUGAAUUGAAUCAUAUUGACAUAUUUCUUUUGGGUUUUCUGGAAGACCUUUGUAUUAAAUACAGAUAUUGAUACAUUUGGGAUACUUAUUCUUU